GUGCCUGCAGUUCUUUUCCCACUUCUUCUUUUACUUCUCUAUUUCGCUGGGCUCUCUAAAUUCAUUUCAGCUCUAGGGAUUUGGAAAGGAUUCCGUGGUGGUUAAUAUUGAGUGUCAACUUGAUUGGAUUGAAGGAUGCAAAGUAUUGUUCCUGGGUGUGUCUGUGAGGGUGUCACCAAAGGAGAUGAAUAUUUGAAUCAGUGAUCUGGGAGACACAAACCCACCCUCAAUCUGGGGGGACACCAUCUAAUCAGCUGCCAGUGCAACUAGGAUAAAAUCAGGCAGAGAAAUUUGGAAAGACUAGACUGGCUGAGUGUUCUGGCCUGCAUCUUUCUCCCAUGCUAGAUGCUUCCUGCCCUUGAAUAUCAGACUCCAAGUUCUUUAGUUUUUGGACUCUUGGACCUUUGACCACAGACUGAAGGCUGCACUGUUGGCUUCCCUACUUUUGAAGUUUUGGGACUUGGACUGGCUUCCUUGCUCCUAAGCUUACAGAUGGCCUAUUGUGGGACUUCACCUUGUGAUCGUACAGAGUCUUGCUGUGUCAUCAGGCUGCAGUGCAGUGGCACGAUCUCGGCUCACUGUAAUCUCCGCCUCCUGGGUUCAAGGGAUUCCGCUGCCUCAGCCUCCCGAGUAGCUGGGACUACAGGCGCACAUCACCACGCCCGGCUAAUUUUCUUGUAUUUUAGUAGAGACAGGGUUUCACCAUGUUGGCAGGGUGGUCUCGCUUUCCUGACCUCAUGAUCCGCUUGCUUGGCCUCCCAAAGUGCUGGGAUUACAAGCGUGAGCCACUGCGCAUGGCCGAUGUCACUAUUUUUUAACAAACCCAAUCACAGGCAAGACGAAAUAUUAAAUAUUAUA